rnacentral:rRNA from 1 species
AGUGAACGCUGGCGGUAGGCCUAACACAUGCAAGUCGAACGGCAGCACAGGAGAGCUUGCUCUCUGGUGGCGAGUGGCGGACGGGUGAGGAAUACAUCGGAAUCUACUCUGUCGUGGGGGAUAACGUAGGGAAACUUACGCUAAUACCGCAUACGACCUACGGGUGAAAGCAGGGGAUCUUCGGACCUUGCGCGAUUGAAUGAGCCGAUGUCGGAUUAGCUAGUUGGCGGGGUAAAGGCCCACCAAGGCGACGAUCCGUAGCUGGUCUGAGAGGAUGAUCAGCAACACUGGAACUGUGACACGGUCCAGACUCCUACGGGAGGCAGCAGUGGGGAAUAUUGGACAAUGGGCGCAAGCCUGAUCCAGCCAUACCGCGUGGGUGAAGAAGGCCUUCGGGUUGUAAAGCCCUUUUGUUGGGAAAGAAAUCCAGCUGGCUAAUACCCGGUUGGGAUGACGGUACCCAAAGAAUAAGCACCGGCUAACUUCGUGCCAGCAGCCGCCGUAA